rnacentral:rRNA from 1 species
UACGUAGGGUGCGAGCGUUGUCCGGAAUUAUUGGGCGUAAAGGGCUCGUAGGCGGUUUUGUUGCGUCAGGAGUGAAAAACUCGGGGCUUAACCCCCGAGCCUGCUUCUGAUACGGGGCAGACUAGAGGUAUGCAGGGGGAGAACGGAAUUCCUGGUGUAGCGGUGAAAUGCGCAGAUAUCAGGAGGAACACCGGUGGCGAAGGCGGUUCUCUGGGCAUUUACCUACGUGAGGAGCGAAAGUGUGGGGGAGCGAAACAGG